AGAGAGAGAGAGAGACGGUGAUCGAGGUAGACACACAGCAAUCGAGGGUUGGGUUUGUUUUGGAAGAUGUUCCGUUUCACCUGUAUAGGUUAGUUUGCACCAAGACUUGGAACCCACCGCUUCCUCUUCUCUUAGUUUGCAAAAUAGUGCGGAUGACAACCAUUUCUUUUAACUGAAGUAGGACUUGGCUACAUUGGUAACCAAACCUCAAUUUGGAGACACUGCUUACCAAGAAAGAUUGGGGUUAAACAUGAAGUCUGUUUAUCUUUUAAUGUAACAUUAAAUCUUUAUUUAUUGGGUUUAACCUAGCUGUGAAAAUAACAUUUGGCUUUUUUCCUACUGCUGAACUUGUAAUAUAUAAGACCUCUGCUUAAUUAAGAUGGCAGAAAAGAAUGCAGCAGAUGAUUUUAAUUGAGGAAGCUGAGAAUAAGUAGGACGACGACAUGUGGACAUCAGUGAACAACCAAAGAAAUAAGCUUUUCCAGAGAUGGAUGUCCAAGGAUGCUAUUGAUUUAUUUUGAUUGAGGUGAGAGGGAAUACAGAAGACAAUUAUCUCAGUUCUUGAUAGUGCUCAUGGCCUCUGUAAGUGUGGUUCCUUCAUCUGGAUUAGGAGACGGCAGUGGAAAUACGGUUGCCCAGUGAGAUGAAUAACAUGAAAAUUAGGGAUGACGUACAAGAUAAACAAUACCCACUUAUUAUUGGCUCAAUCUUUGAUCCUGCUGUGGACUUUUCAAAAGGAGUAUUCUUCUUUUCUUAUCAGUUAUGACUUAAGGAGUUGGUCUCUGGUCUUGGUGGCUGAAAUUUUUUUUGUUACAAUGUAGGCAUUGAGGAGUUGACCUGGCUUAUAUGCUCAUUGGUAUUGAAAAGAGACACCUACCUGAAGCAUGGCCGGAAGCAAAAUUGAGCUGUGAAAAUCUUAAUCAAAGAUUAUGUAGUGAACCUUGAACGGCAGGAGACGUGAUGAUUUAGAAUGUUGAUGAGGAAAUACACACGUAACUGUUGAUGGCGAAGCUUCUAUCCCAAAAUUCCAUUUUUGCAAUAUGUAAAUAUUUGUACUUAAAUACCAGCUUUUGUAAUAUGUAAAGUUAUGACGUUCACCGAUAUCCGUUUCUUAGCUUAUGGUUCUGAUUGUUAUACAUACAAGAAAUUGAGGAAGAAAAAAAAAUUGCAAUUGCGCAGGGCGUAUAUCCAGUGGAAUCUAUAUCAAAGUAUUGUGACA